ACGGCACCCCUCUCCGGAGGGAAGCGAGUGGCGAACGGCUGAGUAACACGUGGAGAACCUGCCCCCUCCCCCGGGAUAGCCGCCCGAAAGGACGGGUAAUACCGGAUACCCCCGGGCGCCGCAUGGCGCCCGGGCUAAAGCCCCGACGGGAGGGGAUGGCUCCGCGGCCCAUCAGGUAGACGGCGGGGUGACGGCCCACCGUGCCGACAACGGGUAGCCGGGUUGAGAGACCGACCGGCCAGAUUGGGACUGAGACACGGCCCAGACUCCUACGGGAGGCAGCAGUGGGGAAUCUUGCGCAAUGGGGGGAACCCUGACGCAGCGACGCCGCGUGCGGGACGGAGGCCUUCGGGUCGUAAACCGCUUUCAGCAGGGAAGAGUCAAGACUGUACCUGCAGAAGAAGCCCCGGCUAACUACGUGCCAGCAGCCGCGGUAAUACGUAGGGGGCGAGCGUUAUCCGGAUUCAUUGGGCGUAAAGCGCGCGUAGGCGGCCCGGCAGGCCGGGGGUCGAAGCGGGGGGCUCAACCCCCCGAAGCCCCCGGAACCUCCGCGGCUUGGGUCCGGUAGGGGAGGGUGGAACACCCGGUGUAGCGGUGGAAUGCGCAGAUAUCGGGUGGAACACCGGUGGCGAAGGCGGCCCUCUGGGCCGAGACCGACGCUGAGGCGCGAAAGCUGGGG
rnacentral:rRNA from 1 species